AGUGAACGCUGGCGGUAGGCCUAACACAUGCAAGUCGAACGGCAGCACAGUAAGAGCUUGCUCUUACGGGUGGCGAGUGGCGGACGGGUGAGGAAUACAUCGGAAUCUACUUUUUCGUGGGGGAUAACGUAGGGAAACUUACGCUAAUACCGCAUACGACCUACGGGUGAAAGCAGGGGAUCUUCGGACCUUGCGCGAUUGAAUGAGCCGAUGUCGGAUUAGCUAGUUGGCGGGGUAAAGGCCCACCAAGGCGACGAUCCGUAGCUGGUCUGUGAGGAUGAUAAGCCACACUGGAACUGAGACACGGUCCAGACUCCUACGGGACGGAGCAGUGGGGAAUAUUGGACAAUGGGCGCAAGCCUGAUCCAGCCAUACCGCGUGGGUGAAGAAGGCCUUCGGGUUGUAAAGCCCUUUUGUUGGGAAAGAAAAGCAGCAGGUUAAUACCCCGCUGUUCUGACGGUACCCAAAGAAUAAGCACCGGCUAACUUCGUG
rnacentral:rRNA from 1 species